rnacentral:rRNA from 1 species
GGAAACUGAGGCUAAACCGCGAUAGACCAAGAUACCUGGAAUGGUUUUUGAUCAAAAUCUAUAUGGCCUUUGGAUUGGACUGCGACCGAUCAGGCUGUUGGUGAGGUAAUGGCCCACCAAACCUGUAACCGGUACGGGCUCUGAGAGGAGGAGCCCGGAGAUGGGUACUGAGACAAGGACCCAGGCCCUAUGGGGCGCAGCAGGCGCGAAACCUCUGCAAUAGGCGAAAGCCUGACAGGGUUAUUCUGAGUGACUUUCGCUAAGAAAGUCUUUUGACAUCUCUAAAAAUGGUGUAGAAUAAGGGGUGGGCAAGUCUGGUGUCAGCCGCCGCGGUAAUACCAGCACCCCGAGUGGUCGGGACGAUUAUUGGGCCUAAAGCAUCCGUAGCCGGUUUUACAAGUCCUCCGUUAAAUCCAACUGCUUAACAGAUGGGCCGCGGAGGAUACUAUAAGACUAGGAGGCAGGAGAGGCAAGCGGUACUCAGUGGGUAGGGGUAAAAUCCGUUGAUCCAUUGAAGACCACCAGUGGCGAAGGCGGCUUGCCAGAAUGCGCUCGACGGUGAGGGAUGAAAGCUGGGGGAGCAAACCGGAUUAGAUACCCGGGUAGUCCCAGCUGUAAACGAUGCAGACUCGGUGAUGGACUAGCUUAAUGCUAGUCCAGUGCCGCAGGGAAGCCGUUAAGUCUGCCGCCUGGGUAGUACGGUCGCAAGACUGAAACUUAA